rnacentral:rRNA from 1 species
AACGCUAGCUACAGGCUUAACACAUGCAAGUCGAGGGGCAGCAUGAGCUUAGCUUGCUAAGUUUGAUGGCGACCGGCGCACGGGUGAGUAACGCGUAUCCAACCUUCCGUACACUCAGGGAUAGCCUUUCGAAAGAAAGAUUAAUACCUGAUGGUAUGAUGAGAUUACAUGGUAACAUCAUUAAAGAUUUAUCGGUGUACGAUGGGGAUGCGUUCCAUUAGGUAGUAGGCGGGGUAACGGCCCACCUAGCCUACGAUGGAUAGGGGUUCUGAGAGGAAGGUCCCCCACAUUGGAACUGAGACACGGUCCAAACUCCUACGGGAGGCAGCAGUGAGGAAUAUUGGUCAAUGGGCGAGAGUCUGAACCAGCCAAGUAGCGUGAAGGAUGAAGGUCCUACGGAUUGUAAACUUCUUUUAUAAGGGAAUAAAACCUCCCACGUGUGGGAGCUUGUAUGUACCUUAUGAAUAAGCAUCGGCUAACUCCGUGCCAGCAGCCGCGGUAAUACGGAGGAUGCGAGCGUUAUCCGGAUUUAUUGGGUUUAAAGGGAGCGCAGACGGGUCGUUAAGUCAGCUGUGAAAGUUUGGGGCUCAACCUUAAAAUUGCAGUUGAUACUGGCGUCCUUGAGUGCGGUUGAGGUGUGCGGAAUUCGUGGUGUAGCGGUGAAAUGCUUAGAUAUCACGAAGAACUCCGAUUG